UUCUGAACGUGACCUCGAAUCAGGAG
rnacentral:rRNA from 1 species